rnacentral:rRNA from 1 species
UACGGGGGGGGCAAGCGUUGUUCGGAAUUACUGGGCGUAAAGGGCUCGUAGGCGGCCAACUAAGUCAUACGUGAAAUCCCUCGGCUUAACCGGGGAACUGCGUCUGAUACUGGAUGGCUUGAGAUUGGGAGAGGGAUGCGGAAUUCCAGGUGUAGCGGUGAAAUGCGUAGAUAUCGAGAGGAACACCUGCGGCGAAGGCGGGUUGCUGGGCUGACACUGACGCUGAGGCGCGAAAGCUAGGGGAGCGAACGGG